UAAUUUCACAUUUAUAAUUUGUAAUUGUGUAAACAUAUCACUUAUGAAUAUUCAUGACGACUUUAGUGUACAACCUCAAACUGUUCCUAAUUCUACUCAGACCACUACAAUGCGGCAGCAUAACAGGCAGAUGAGGUAAAAUAUAAAGUGUUUCUGUCAAGAUGCAAAGUGUUUGGUUUGACAGUCAGAGAGCAUAAAGUCUGAGCAGUGAAGUAUGCUCCAGUGUGCUGAUGUGGCAGCAGGUUGCAUAAGAUACUAUUACCCAACAGGAAAAUUGACUACUAUUAAGGCAACAUGAUGCCCUCAGAACUUACAGGAGUGCUACAGUAUGGCGGUAGGUAGGCUAUCAUACUGAGCAAGAUUCUAUACAGUACUACAACAUCUCUAUAUAAAAAAAGAAAUAACAAUAACAUUGCUAAAACUGGAAUGAUUCAUCUAUGAAGGGCAAAAAAAAACCAAGUUCAUGUUAUUAUUACAAAUACUACUUAUUAAUUAUACUAACAAAAUAGCACCUAUAACCCCCCAAAAAAGGAAACAGGGAGUGGAAGGCCAUUAUUGAUAUGAUAAUACAUUCAUUUUUGCUGUCAACAAACAAUUAGGUCACCAACACUGAUAAGGUUAAAUACAAUUAAACAUGAUAAAUAAGGACACACAGAUUCUUUCAGACUGAAACUGGAGUAUUCACCCAUCUUGUAUAAUUUUCCCAACUGACUUGGAUGUUAUAAGAUGACAUUGCUAAGACAGUUUUAUCUCCCAACCUAUCCACCCAUUCAUCCAUCACUCUAAUCUACAAAAUCGAGAUCAGGCUAUCAGUCAAUAUCCUACCAAUCGACGCCAUUGUAGUACCUAUUGUACUCACUGUACCUACCUAUCUAUCUUAUCUAUUAAAUUCUUUAAAUAAAACAUAUUUAUAUAGGAUAAUUGAUACACCUCUCAAGGGUUGUUUCCAUCCAACUUGUGUUACACACCAUAAUCUGGAAUACUGUACAAUACAAUAAAAUGAAAAAAGGAAAAUAAAAAAAAUAUAAUGGCUUAAUCGUGGCUUAGACAAAUAGAGGUUGUAUUAAACUGUUACGACAUUAAUAGAUUAGAAUCACUUAUUGAUAAUUUAUGGUAGUUGAAUUAAAGCUAGCGAUAUCAAUUGUACAGGUAGCAAUAGUUUUUUGUACCAUUAUUUAUACCUUCAUGGUCAUAUCAACUCAAGCAUUUUUAUGACAUCUAAGGGUACUUUUACAUAAUAGUAGUAGGCCUAUUUAGAAGAAUUACUGUAUUUCAUCAUUCAUCAUUUUUUUUGUCUUCUAUUAUAAUUGUGUUUUAAUUGAUUGUGAUUUGUUUGGGGGUAUUUUU